UACGUAGGGGGCAAGCGUUGUCCGGAUUUAUUGGGCGUAAAGAGCGUGUAGGCGGUCAGGUAGGUCCGUUGUGAAAACUCGAGGCUCAACCUCGAGACGCCGAUGGAAACCAUCUGACUAGAGUCCGGAAGAGGCGAGUGGAAUUCCUGGUGUAGCGGUGGAAUGCGCAGAUAUCAGGAGGAACACCAAUAGCGAAGGCAGCUCGCUGGGACGUUACUGACACUGAGGCGCGAAAGCGUGGGGAGCGAACAGG
rnacentral:rRNA from 1 species